GAAACAUUUUGUUGUUGUUAAUUGUUAAUACGUAAAUCUUAUAUAUUGAUGAUAUAUGAAAGUUCGAGAUGUAAAAAUGUUUGAUUUGUCUGUAAUAAGGAUUUAUGAUAGACAAAUUAGCGGGUUGAGCAAUAAUAGGUGCAAACCGGGUAAAUGGGUGCACAAUUCCAUAAGUGCUAAGCCCGGGGUUACGGGUAAAGAAACAUUAAACACACAAGCCGGUAGUCGAAGCGAGAAUGCGAGUAGAUUAAAGGAUUUGGGAACGGGUUGUCAAAUUGAGUAUUAAGUCCCAUGCAUAGGAAUGUGAUUGAAAUAGGAUUUAUUGCUUAUUAGCGAACUAACCUCGUGUAUGUGUUUAUACAGUUUAAAUCAGUUGAAGUAAUAAGUUACUAAACAUUGUCUUGAGUAUGAAAUGAGAAUGCAGGUAUUCUUUUAACGUCGUUAUCAGGGUUAAAGAAUUUGGAAUGCACGAAUGUACACGGAAAGCUUAUUCGUGGGGAUUAGUAUGGGAAGAAGGAACGCGGACUGGCUAUUGAUUACGUAGGUCUAGUUUAGGAAUGAUGUCAUUGUAUCUAACCGAUGUAUAUGUAUGUGGUGAAUGCAGGUGGCGUGGACUUAGCAUCAUUACGAAGAAAAGAAGGUUUGAAGAUCGAGUCAAGAGCGAGGGUUGUACGGGAAGGAUCGGUCGCAUAAUUUGACAAAAAAAAUAUAGGUCUUGAAGUAUUAAUAUAAUGGGACGUGGUAAAUUCCUUUUUAAUGAGUGUAUGAAUUGUUGUCUUGGAACCUUCCUGUAAGUAUUAUGUCUAGUAAAGAACGAAAUUUUUGGGCUCUUAUUUUUCGCUGUGUCGUAUUUUAAGUUAUUACACGUUAGUCUUACAGGGAAUUGUUCUUAUUACGAACGGGCCAUGCCCGAAUUUUGUUAAAUAAUAGUAUGAUAAUAGUCAUUUUCGGAAUAUGAAAUUUGGGUGUUACAAGUUGGUAUCAGAGCCCUGGUUUGAGGGAAAUCAAGUAGAAGGAGGUGAAUACUUGAACUCAAACCUGUGUGCUCUUGUGACAAGGAACCCAUACAAUCCAAGACUCGAUCAAGGCCUAAAGUUAAAAGCGAAUGGAAGUAUGUAUUAAAUUAUGUAUUUGAAGGAAACUAAUAGUAUGUUAUGUGAAGGGUAAGCGCAAUUGCUUGGAAAGGAUGAUCUGUGAAUGUGGUCUAGGACCGGCACCAAGGCAUGUAAUAAGACAUAUUGACCCAGGUACGUAAAUUUAGCAUAUGGGUGCAUGUAAUGGUAAAAUUUAUCAAAUGAAGGAAAAAUUUUAAUGAAAUAUAAUAAUAGGAUGGAAACGAAGUUAUGAAAAUGUUACACGUGCCGAAACCUAAUUCUUCGGGCAUAAACCCUAAUUCAAGAUAAACCUUCAAAUUGAAAGGGGAAACUGGCUCUAAUCGGAUGCAUGGACCUAGAUUCUUAAUCAUCUAGACUUUCUACACAUGAGCUCGACUCUUGACAAGCUAUAUGGGAUCUUGGAGAAGAAUGGGUUAAACGGAUCAAGUACGCAAAGAAGCUCUAAUGGACACAAAGUGGCGUGGACUUAGCAUCAUUACGAAGAAAAGAAGGUUUGAAGAUCGAGUCAAGAGCGAGGGUUGUACGGGAAGGAUCAGUCACAUAAUUUGACAAAAAAAA